AAGACCUUGCGCUUUUGGAGCGGCCGAUGCCUGAUUAGCUAGUUGGUGAGGUAAUGGCUCACCAAGGCGUCGAUCAGUAGUUGGUCUGAGAGGACGACCAGCCACACUGGGACUGAGACACGGCCCAGACUCCUACGGGAGGCAGCAGUGGGGAAUUUUGGACAAUGGGCGCAAGCCUGAUCCAGCCAUGCCGCGUGAGUGAAGAAGGCCUUCGGGUUGUAAAGCUCUUUCAGUCGAGAAGAAAAGGUCACGGCUAAUAAUCGUGAUCCAUGACGGUAUCGACAGAAGAAGCACCGGCUAACUACGUGCCAGCAGCCGCGGUAAUACGUAGGGUGCGAGCGUUAAUCGAAAUUACUGGGCGUAAAGGGUGCGCAGGCGGCUUUGUAAGUCAGAUGUGAAAUCCCCGGGCUUAACCUGGGAACU
rnacentral:rRNA from 1 species